UCAGAUGGUCGGGCGGCCGCUGUUCCGGUUCUACCGGAAUGGAGGAAAGUCCGGGCUCCAUGAAAGCAAGGCGGCGGGUAACGCCCGCCCGGUGAAAGCCGAGGGAUAGUGCCACAGAAAGCAAACCGCCGCGAACGCGUUCGCGGUAAGGGUGAAAGGGUGCGGUAAGAGCGCACCGCGGAGCUGGCAACAGUUCUGGCAAGGUAAACCCCGCCUGGAGCAAGACCAAAUAGGGAAGGCAUCUGGCGUGCUUUUGCGCUGUCUUCCGGGUCGGUCGCGUGAGGUGGUGAGCAAUCAUCAUCCCAGAGGAAUGGUCGCCGAUCCACGUUAGUGGUGAACAGAACCCGGCUUAUAGACCAUCUGAUCAU
rnacentral:RNase_P_RNA from 1 species